GUGUUGUAUGCAAGGAGAGAAAGACAGCACUCUUUACAAAGAUGGAUAAGGUCCUUGGGUCUAUCAGCAGGGCCAGUGGUUAAGGCAUUGCCGUGUACUGUGGCAUUUGAUGACUGUUUCUA